rnacentral:misc_RNA from 1 species
ACCGCGUUAACUUGUCUCUGAUCGUCGCUGAUUGAGCAACAGUUUAUCUUAUGGCAAUGAAGUAAUAAUUUAAUGACAAUUUUAUUUUAUUAAUUAACAUUAACAAUAAUCUUGACAAUGAGUGAAAGUGUAAGCAAGCGUAGUAUCAGUAGUAAUAAUAAAAAUGCCAGUCGUCCAAUUUCACGUCGUAGACUUCCAGAUGGUUUUGGAAUGGUAGCGCGUGCUACUAAACCCCCGGUGACUUAUCGUCUUGACGAAAAUGUUAAUCGUUUAUCCUUAUCUUCACACAAGAUAAGUGAUGGGGGUGUAGGUAAAUUCGAUGACAAAAAAACGGAGAGGAUAGAGGAGCUGCCGUCAUCCGUGAGAUCCAAGCCGAUGGAUGACGUAAAAAAGAGCGAAGACGGCGGGCGACCUGUCCAAGUUGUGCUGGCGCAUCCUGAUCACACAUUCGAGCUUGACGAAGAUGCACUCGCUGAAAUUCUUCUCAAGGAUGACAUCAAAGACCGCAGUGUUGUGGUCGUCUCUGUUGCUGGGGCUUUUCGCAAAGGAAAAAGUUUCCUUCUUGAUUUUUUUCUUCGUUACAUGAACCAUCAAUAUGGUGACAAUAAAUCUCCAAGUUCGUGGAUUGGCGAUGACAAUGAGCCUCUCAGUGGAUUUUCCUGGCGCGGAGGUUCUGAGCGAGACACAACCGGAAUUUUAAUGUGGUCAAAAGUGUUCCCAGGAACAAUGCCAAACGGUGAGAAAGUCGCGAUCAUCCUGAUGGACACCCAGGGGGCGUUCGACAGCCAAUCGACAGUACGAGACUGCGCGACAGUAUUUGCCCUGAGCACGAUGCUGUCCUCAGUCCAGAUCUUCAACCUGUCGCAGAACAUCCAGGAAGACGACCUCCAGCAUCUCCAACUGUUCACCGAGUACGGACGACUAGCCCUGGAGAAAUCAGGGAAUACUCCGUUCCAGAAGCUCGAGUUCCUAGUCCGGGACUGGAGCUACCCCUACGAGGCCGAUUACGGAUCCGAGGGUGGCCAGAAAAUCCUCCAGAGACGACUGGAAAUCUCCGACCGCCAACACCCGGAGCUCCAGAGUCUGAGAAAGCACAUAAAGUCCUGCUUCUCGGACAUCUCCUGCUUUCUGAUGCCCCACCCAGGUCUGAAAAUUGCUACCAACCCCAAGUUCGACGGCAGACUGGUGGAGAUUGAGUCCGACUUCAAGCACCAGCUCAAGGAACUUAUUCCCUCGCUGCUUGCGCCGGAGAAUUUGGUCACCAAGAAAAUAAACGGACAGACUGUUCGGGCCAGGGAUUUGCUCGAGUACUUUAAGAGUUAUAUAAGAAUCUACAAGGGCGAUGAACUUCCGGAACCGAAAAGCAUGCUGGUAGCGACUGCCGAGGCUAAUAAUCUCUCUGCUGUAGCAGAUGCCAAGGACCUCUAUCUUCAGAUGAUGGAAUGUGUAUGCGGUGGCACUAAACCGUUCUUGGCUACUGCGCAUCUCGAGUCUGAGCACCAGAGGUGCGUUGACAAGGCGCUACAUUUGUUUUCUAAUAAACGGAAGAUGGGGGGAGAUGAGUUCAGUCAAACUUACAUGGAGAAACUUGUUAAGGAUAUGGACGACGCUUUCCUUCAAUUUAAAGCCCACAAUGAAAGUAAAAAUAUUUUCAAAGCAGCCCGUACGCCAGCCGUAUUUUUUGCCAUUGCCGUAACGAUGUACAUUUGCUCCGGAGUAUUUGGACUCGUUGGACUUUAUACGCUUGCUAAUAUUUGUAAUCUCAUUAUGGGAAUUGGGUUGUUAACUCUCGUAUUAUGGGCGUAUAUCAGAUAUAGCGGCGAGCUUCGUGAAAUAGGAACGCAAAUCGACGAAUUAGCGAGCGGAAUCUGGGAAAACGCCUGGCUAUGCGCUCAUCUAAUCCACCAAUUACGUUAUUUAGUCCUCUCAUUUUUUUUAACACUCGCAGCCGUUCCAACUUACACGAUCGUUUAUACUCACUUUCAUAAACACGGUUAUAUCUGAUCUCACGCAAUCCUUUAGACCCUAUUUUUAAUUACCGUCAUCAUUAUUUUAUCAUUAAUACAGUUACAAUUACAUUAAUCUUUUUUUUUUUUUUUAUUAUACCUUUACUUUAUUUGAUUACCCACGAGUGCUUUGGAUCUCAAGAUAAUGAAACCAGUUUAUCAACAAUUUGUCGAGAAAUCUGUGCAUGUUGCGGUUCAACACGCAGCUAACUCAGCAAACUCAACACUUGCCAACGCAGCAAUUAACGGAAAAUAUAAAGUACCGUAAUUAAUAAAAAGAAAAUUAAAAAAAAAAAAUAAUAAAAAACAUUUUAUAUUAUUAAAUUAUCGGUUUUAAGGUAACCUAAAAU